UGACCGUGCGAAGGUAGCAUAAUCAUUAGUCUUUUAAUUGAAGGCUUGUAUGAAUGGUUGGACGAGAAGUAAUCUGUCUCUGUUGAAAAAAUUGAAUUUAACUUUUGAGUGAGAAGGCUUAAAUGACCUAGAGGGACGAUAAGACCCUAUAAAGUUUAAUAUUACAGCAAUAGAAAAUUAAUUAGGUUAUAAGAUUUGUUAUUGUAGGUAGUAUUUUGUUGGGGCGACAAGAAUAUAAAUAAUUUAACUGUUCUUUUUUGUAUCAAAGAUAUUUGAGUUGAUGAUCUUUUUAAGAGUAAUAGAGUAAAUUACUUUAGGGAUAACAGCGUAAUUUUUUUUGAGAGUUCUUAUCGAUAAAAGAGUUUGCGACCUCGAUGUUGAAUUAAAGAUUCUUUAUAGUGCAGAAGCUAUACAAGAAGGUCUGUUCGACCUUUAAAUCUUUACAUGAUUUGAGUUCAGACCGGUGUGAGCCAGGUUGGUUUCUAUCUA
rnacentral:rRNA from 1 species